rfam:Bombyx mori DNA, contig: Bm_scaf79_contig32663, strain: p50T/Dazao, build 2, whole genome shotgun sequence.
UUAACUCAAAUUUGUAUGGAGUUGGAACGGUUGCCUACGUUUGCCGCUAGGGGCGCUGUUCCAACUACAUACAAGUUUCAGGUA